AACCAGGGGGUUAAGUUGUAUUGUUGCGGUAAAAAGACAGUUAAAUAUUUUCAAAGGGUUUAGUUCAUUGUCCUAUCGGGAGGUAGAAUUCGAAGAUAGACAAAUAUACUUAAUAAAACUUACGUAUUGAAGCUGUGACAGCUUUGAGGGAAACUAGGAUUAGAUACCCUAUUAUUCAUAGAAGUAAAUAAGAAAAAUUUUUACCAGAGCACUAAGAAUAAAAAAUUUAAAACUCAAAGGGCUUGGCGGUGUUUUAGACUACUUAGGGGAACCUGUCUCAUAAUCGACAAUCCACGUUAGACCUGACCUUUUUUUGCAUUCAGUUUGUAUACCGUCGUCGCCAGGUAACUUUUAAGAUAUAAACAGUUAGCUAACUAAAUACUUAAAUUAAGACGUCAGAUCAAGGUGCAGCCAACAAAAAGGUGUAGAUGGGUUACAAUUAUGGUUAUUUGUAACAACGGACAACAACCUUAAAGGUAGUUGAGAAGGAGGACUUAAAAGUAAAAUGAUUUAUAUAAAUAUUUUGAAUAAAGCUCUGAAACGUGC
rnacentral:rRNA from 1 species